ACAGUCUCAAUAAUAAUACAUUUACAAAACACAAUUCAUAAAUUCACAGCACAAUUCACAUUCACAAAAUCAGAUUCGUAAAUUCAAAACACAAUUCAUAAAUUCACAAACAUUUUCCCCAAAUGCUCACACAAAUAUAUCUCGCAGAAAUAAAUUCAGAAUGUUUUCACAAAUAUGUAUAUAUCAUGUUCUUGAAUUACUUUCCAAUAAACAUUUGUGAAUGUUGUUACAUGUAUUUAUGGAUUGGUGAAUCUGCAUUUGCAAAUCGUCACACGUGUGUGGAUUGCUUUGAAUUUGUGUGUGGUAUUUUUGAGACUGUCCUGCCACGGUGAGAUUCAAGCGUAACUUUUUUUUAAGGAUGGCCUGUUCAGCCAAUCGCGUUGAGCUUUUGAUCCACCAAUCAAAACGCUCCUUACUGAAGUGACUCGAGAAGCUCGACGCUGCACAGUUCUGUGCAGUGUGCCUGCAUCGGUUCAAAAACAGAGAGGGACGCAAGACCACACUCAACAAGAGCUGAUAGAAAAGUCUAAGCAAGAGAUUUUCCUGUAGUCAUGCAGUCUCAAGUUUCAGUUGUGCAGGAUGGCUAAUGAGUGGAGUGAUGAAUUUUCU